GAAAAAGGAAAUUCCCAACAUCCCCCAAGCCAAGUAAUGGGAACAUGAAGAAAAUAACCCAUAAAGAUUUGGAAUACCUACAAGGCAGAGUGCAGUAAAUGUCUAGACAAAUUCUUCAGGGCAGCCAUUGAUUGUCUGAUGACCCGGAGAACAAGAACCUGAUGUUGAGCUUCCUAGGACAUCUGAUACACUGAUAUGCUUCAUGUAUCUCCAGAAGGAGAAAGAAUAGGUUUGAAUAUGAUGCCACCAAAAUCUGGGCUGUCUGAAUGCCAUCCACCUAGAGGUCAUCCUUGUAUAGGGUGUGAUACAGAGUCACACUGACUUUCUACAUUGUUAACAUCGUCAGCAUUGUGCUCCCUGGUUGUGGAAGGAGGUACAGGGCAGACGGAAUGGAUGU